GCUUACGGCCAUACCACCCUGAGAACGCCCGAUCUCGUCUGAUCUCGGAAGCUAAGCAGGGUCGGGCCUGGUUAGUACUUGAAUGGGAGACUGCCUGGGAAUACCAGGUGCUGUAAGCU
rnacentral:rRNA from 1 species